rnacentral:rRNA from 1 species
AGCUCCAAUAGCGUAUAUUUAAGUUGUUGCAGUUAAAAAGCUCGUAGUUGGAUUUCGGGGCGGCCCGAUCGGUCCGCCGUUCGGUGUGCACUGGUCGGGGCGUCCUUGCUGCCGGACACGGGCUCCUGGGCUUCACUGUCUGGGACUCGGGGUCGGCGAGGUUACUUUGAGUAAAUUAGAGUGUUCAAAGCAGGCCUACGCUCUGAAUACAUUAGCAUGGAAUAACACGAUAGGACUCUGGCCUAUCUGGUUGGUCUGUGGGACCGGAGUAAUGAUUAAGAGGGACAGUCGGGGGCAUUCGUAUUUCAUUGUCAGAGGUGAAAUUCUUGGAUUUAUGAAAGACGAACUACUGCGAAAGCAUUUGCCAAGGAUGUUUUCA